UUACUUAUAGGUCAAGUUAUUGAAACUAGCUAUUUUACUACAUUUUUUUAUACCUCUAAAAUAUGUAUGGUUUUGGUAGUAGUUUCACUUAGGAUAUGUUUGGUAAAAAUAAGUUAUAAGUUAGCUGAUAGCUAAUAAGCUAGCUUACGGCUGAAAAGCUAGCUUAUAGCUGGAAAGCUGAAAAGCUAGCUAAUUGAAAUNN
rnacentral:lncRNA from 1 species